GACGAACGCUGGCGGCGCGCUUAACACAUGCAAGUCGAACGGAAAGGCCUGCUUUCCCUUGUGGAUUGCGGGUACUCGAGUGGCGAACGGGUGAGUAACACGUGAGUGAUCUGCCCCCAACUUGGGUAUAAGCCUGGGCAACUGGGUCUAAUUCCCGACAGGACUGCAGGGUGGUGCCUGUGGUGGAAAACGAUUUUCUAGUGGUUGGGGAUGAGCUCGCGGCCUAUCAGCUUGUUGGUGGGGUAAUGGCCUACCAAGGCGGCGACGGGUAGCCGGCCUGGGAGGGUGGACGGGCACAUUGGGACGGAGAUACGGCCCAGACUCCUACGGGAGGCAGCAGUGGGGAAUAUUGCACAAGGGGCGGAAGCCUGAUGCAGCGACGCCGAGGGAGGGAUGACGGCCUUCGGGUUGUAAACUCCUUUCGACCGCGAGGAAGCCACCUGGUUGGAAGGGUGGUGACGGUAGUGGUAGAAGAAGCACCGGCUAACUACGUG
rnacentral:rRNA from 1 species